UAAGCGCUGAAAGCAUAUUAAGCGCGAAGCCCACUCCAAGAUAAGAAUUCCCUAUGACCUCCCAGAAAGAUGAUCUGGUUGAUAGGCGCAAGGUGGAAGCAUGGCAACAUGUGGAGCCGAAGCGUACUAAUAGGUCCAUCGCCUUUUUAUG
rnacentral:rRNA from 1 species